rnacentral:rRNA from 1 species
UACGUAGGGGGCUAGCGUUGUCCGGAAUCAUUGGGCGUAAAGAGCGUGUAGGCGGCCCGGUAAGUCCGUUGUGAAAGUCGAGGGCUCAACCCUCGAAUGCCGGCGGAUACUGUCGGGCUAGAAUCCGGAAGAGGCGAGUGGAAUUCCUGGUGUAGCGGUGAAAUGCGCAGAUAUCAGGAGGAACACCAAUGGCGAAGGCAGCUCGCUGGGACGGUAUUGACGCUGAGACGCGAAAGCGUGGGGAGCAAACAGG